ensembl:lncRNA
GGCAAGGGGAUGCAAAACUUCGGAAAUAUUGAAGGCUUUAUUUUGUAUUUUUUUCUCUCCCCCUUUCUGUUCGCCCCCUAAACAGCGAUAACUUCUCUCUGACCCCAAAGUGACACCGUUUCUAUGUUGUUUCUGAUUAAUCUUGCCCAUUGACAGUCUUUGUUAAACAACAAGGCGUGCCCUUCCCCAACGAGGCGACAUUUUCAUAUUUGUUAGACGCAGUGACCUGAAGCUCACCCCGGACUUGGACUUCGGUUUUCCAGGGUCUACUCGACUCUGGGUAGAUUACGGAGCACUUAGCACCAGUCAGCACCUAACAGCGCCCCAAAAAUAUAUUUUUUAAAACCAGUACAAAACCCACGAUAAAGCGUAGGUCCAUCUGAAAAAGCCUUGCGUCGACUGUGCCACUCCUGUAGGAUCUGGCCUCCAGAACGCAUGUAACCAAGACCACCUGAGGGUCUAUCUAUCAGCAUAAUGUCCACGAUCCCUUGUCUGUUAGGAGGACCAGGCUGCAGAGGACAAUGUUCCCUCAGUAUUCACGAGGCGGUUAAGCAGAAGGAGAGAAAGACUACAUAUUUUAAAGGAGUCCGGGGGCUCCAUUUGGGGGGCUGUGGGCAUAGUCUACCCAUCAUCCUGUGACCGGGCUGGCUGCAGGUGACACUGAACUUGGCCUAAAGCGAGCUCUGCUGGUGGCUGGAGGAUGCAGAUUUAUCUUGCUGCUAUGGCUGACCUCGCGGUGAACCGCGCACGGGGGAUGGUUAAUUUUUUUCUGCCUGGCAUUGUCUGCCUAGGACCCCGAUUUAAGAUGAUUUUAUGUGUAACAACGGUGUAAUUUUCGCCCCAGACUUCACAAUGAUAUUGGCAUAGAAUAACGGUUUCUCUUUCAUGUUCUACACCAUACAACUGUAAUGGAAAUGAAGUCCAAUUUCAUUGCAUUGGCUAUUUGUUUACAAGACGGAAUCUUCUAUGUCGACUGUUAGGGGAAGGGGGAGCGGGGAUCAACCCACCUCAAAUCAUCAGAUGAUUCAGAGUUUCAAUUCCAUCUACGUACUGACAUAUUAUACUUUGAGGGUUUAGUUUCUAUAUAAACACUUUUCAUUGCA